ACCCGGCGGCCGUGGUCCCUGCGCGCGGCACGAGGUGAGCCGCCCCUUGGGCUUGCGUCUUCCGACAAGAGAGAGGCGGUGGUCCGUGGGUAGCGCGGGGUUACUGGAAUGGGACUCCCUGAGGAAGUCCCCUGAGAAGUCGCCGGCACGCUCCGCCUUCCUUCUUGCUUCCCAUUUCUCGUUUUCUUCUCAGCCUUCAUAGUUUUUUAAAGUGCUGUAUUUGAAUAUUAUUUUAAACAUCAUCUAGGUCAGAUUAGCGGCCUGUGACCAACUUGGAAACAAAUUCCUCAUUCUUUUCUGCCCUGGUGUCAGCUCCUGUAAGCCUGCAGAUUUUAUGCCAAAUAAACCGCUGGAGCAAAAGGAAAGGCAGCCAGCCUCUCCCGGAAUUUGGGAGAGGGAUACCUUGUUAAGAAAACGUUCUACAACUUACGAAUUAGAUUUAACUGUAAAAAAUAGCACGUCCUCUUUUACCAAACAAACGUACUAGUUAGGGAAAUCAUCUUGCUUCAGAUUUAAGAUAGUUCUUUUUUAGUGCUUGUAAUAUCCUGCUAUAUAAUCUUCAUAAGAAACGUGAAGGGUUAGGAAAGGUUUAGCCGUGCUGUCCAGUAUUGGGAUUUAAAUUUUAAAUAUUAACUUAAUUCCUCAGUGGCACCAGCCACAUUUCAGGUGUGCCAUAACCAUGUAUGGCUAGUGGCUGCUAUGUGGCAAAGUACAUAUGUAGAACGUUUCUAUCAUCGAAGACAGUUCUUUUGGACAGAGCCGGCCGAGAGGAUUACAAUACUUGGGGCAGAAAAGUGUCCUUAAUCACAUAAAAUAAUGAAAACCCUAGCCAGAAAAAAAAAAAAAAAAGUUGGCUACGGAAGCUAGAAGAAAUCGUAUUAACAAAAAAGCAGUCAGCAAGCUUUCUACUUACAUAGUAUGAUUUAGAGAUACAGGAAAGCUUCCCCCGAAAGACCCCACAAUGUCUAAUGGUCCUUGGUUCUGAAAUUCUGUCAUUGAAUCUGAUUAUUUUGAUUAAAGGCAUGGUAUCUCCCAGAAUAUCCUGUGAAUGUUCGCAUUAGUCUGCUCAUCAGAUUGCUUUCCAACCAAAAAAUACUGUGUUCUACAAAGGAGGAGCAUCUUUAUCUCAAAGCAGCAGUUCUUAUCGCCAAGUAUUCAGCAUCUCUUUGGAAUUCAUUUGUCAGCCUCUCUGGUUCCGGGAGCUGUAUUUGCCUAUCUUAGUUUGCUGAGUGCAGCGAAGAAUCUAGAACAGUGGUUCUCACACCAGCAUCAUUUGCAUCCAGUGUGAGCUUCUUUGAAAUGCAAAUUUGAAGGCCUCACCCCAAACUACUGAAUCAGAAUCUCUGGUGUUGGGGCCCCAGGAGACUACUUAAGCAAGCUCUCCUGGGGAUGCCUGUGCCCCCCCAGAGUUUGAGAAUGAUUGCUCCAGAAGAAUACCUAUACAGGGCUGCACUGAAGCCCGGGGGUAAAAAGAAAACAGAGGUUAACUUGCUUCGAGAUAUCCUGCUGACAAGAUAUGACUUGGUCUCUCCGACAUAUGUGACUCCCAACCCAACUAGUUCCUAGCUUGCUGUUUCUAAAGGACCCCAAAUGUAGACUUUUGCCCCUUUUGAAGUCAAGAUCAGAAGUUCUCAGGAUUUUAAAAUGUCAGGCUUCCCUAUUGCCCCCAAAUUGUUCAAAGUCCUUUGAUAGUAGGCAUACUUUUAUGUGCAUACUGUUUAUAUAUUUGAGGAAAUAUAUAAUGAACAAAGUCUAUUAAUUUAAAAAAUUACAAAUUCAUUUAAAAGAAUUAUGAAAUUAAGUAGCAAAGUGUAUUUUUAAAUAAUAGUACAUAUAUGUAUGAGAUACUCAUUUUACAGAUAAUGCUUGGUGGAUUACAUAUUUGGAUUCAUAGCAAUGUCUUCAACUUACUCCUUGGCCCCUUCAAUCCCUGUUUGGGAACCACUGCUCUAGACCAAAGGAAAUGAAGCAUAGCGAGAGUUUGGAGUCCCUUCUUUCACUGGAACAAGGCCUGCCUUCUGCACUUUAGUAUACUGUUUAAGAGGCUCUCUCCCCUCAAUGUAUAAUUUAUACCCCUUUCAGAGAAAACUCUACUUACUACCCAUAGCCCCUCCUGUGGUUUGAAUAAUGGUGUCCCCUCCAAAAUUCACGUUGAAACUUUAUCCUCAUGGUGGCAGUAUUAAGAGGUUGGCAUUUGGGGAAGUGAUUAAGUUAUGAGGGUUCUGCUCUCAUGAAUUUGAUUAGUGCCUCAUAAAAGGACUGGAGGGAAUUAGCUUGGGCCGUUUUUGCCCUUCUGUCCUGCCAUGUGAAGGCCCCUAGGUGGCACCAUGAGGAAUGGGCCUUCAGCAGACACCAAACCUGCUGGUGCCUUGACCUUGGACUUCUCAGCCUUCAGAACUGUGAGAAAUAAAUUUCUGUUAUUUGCAAAUGACACAGUUGCAGCUAUUUCAUUAUAGCAGCACAAACAGACUACCCUUAUAGCUAGAACUUCAGAGGCACAAGCAUAUCAAAAUACAGCCUAAAAGCCUGGUGUCUACAAGAGCUGUACAUUUAUAGAGCUGGGCAGACAUUUGUUAUACAAAUUCAGAUUGUACAGAUUACAGUGAGAAUGAACUUCAGUUAAAUAUAUGUAGUUUUUAAUAAACUUUUAAUUGAAAUAUACACAAAAAUGCACACAAAUCACAAGUGCAUAGCUCAGGGAGUUUUUACAGAGUGAACAUAGCUGUCUAUCAAUACUCAGGCCAAGAACAGGAAAUUUAUCUCUCCUCCAGAAAGCCCCUGGAGCGCCAUCCUAAAUCCUCCCCCUUGAGUAACCAGCCCCAAGCCCUCUAACACCGUAGAUUAGUUUUGCCUUUUUUGAACUUUGUUUAAUUAUAUAAUAUGUGCUUUUUAAUGUCUGACUGCUUUUGCUCAAGUUAGUGAGAGUCAUCCACGUUGUAGGAAUAGUUUGUUCAUUCUUGCUGCUAAAUAGCAUAUGAUUGUUUGAGUCUACUACCAUUUAUUUGUUCUGAAUUUGGUUGUUUCCAGUUUGGCCUUCUCAUGAAGAGAACCAUUAAGGACAUGUUUGUCCUUGUCUUUUGGUAGACAUACACUCAUUUCUUGUGGGCAUAUGUCUAGGAGUGGGAUUGCUGGAUUGCAGUGUAUCUAUAUGUUCAUCAUACACUGCUGAACAGUUUUCUGAGUGAUUGCACCCGCACUUGAGCUUGGACACAGGAUAAGGAUGGCCACUAUCAUCACUUCUGUUCUAUACUGUAUAGUUAUAGCAACAAGUGAGGAAAAUUAAGAAGUGGUAUAAUGAUUGGAAAGGAUGAAACAAAGUUGAUAUUAUAGCCAAUAUAUUGUACACAUAGAAAAUCCAAAGUAAUCUACAGGUCAACUAUUAGAUUAAUAAGUGAAUUUAGGCUAGGUGCAGUGGCUCACACCUGUAAUCCGAGCACUUUGGGAAGUCAAAGUGGGAGGAUCACUUGAGGCCAGUAGUUGGAGACCAGCCUGGGUAACAUAGUGAGACUCCAUCUCUAAAAAUAAAAAAAUUAGAAAAAAAAAUUGAAUUUAGAGAUGUCUUUGAAAACAAAGUCAAUAUAAGAAAAAGCAGUUGUAUUUUUUUUUUUUUUUUUGAUGGAGUCACUCUGUCGCCCAGGCUGGAGUGCAGCGGUGCAAUCUCAGCUCAUUGCAACCUCUGCCUCCUGGGUUCACGCCAUUCUCCCGCCUCAGCCUCCCAAGUAGUUGGGAAUACAGGUGCCCGCCACCACGCCUGGCUAAUUUUUUAGUAGAGAUGGGGUUUCACCGUGUUAGCCAGUAUAGUCUUGAUCUCCUGACCUCGUGAUCCGCCCACCUUGGCCUCCCAAAGUGCUGGGAUUACAGGUGUGAGCCACUGCGCCCGGCAGAAAAAGCAGUUGUAUUUCUACAUAGCAACAGCAACUAGAAAAUUUUUAAACAUUGGAAUAUAAACUAUUCCGAAAAAUUCUUAACAAAAGAUUAGCAAAACCUCUAGUCUGAAAACCACAACAUAUCACUCAGAGGAAUGAAAGAAGAGCUAAAUAAAUGGAAGGAUAUACGAUGUAAUGUCUUGGAAACUUUAGUAUUGUAAAGUUGCCAGUGCUUCUCAAAGUCAUGUAUGAAUUCAGUGCAAUCUCAAUCAAAAUCUCACCAUAUUUUUGUAGUGGAAAUUGACAAGCUGAUGCUACCAUUUACAAAUAAAAAUGCAAGGGGCCAAGAAUAGCCAAAAUAAUCUUAAGGAAGAAGAAAAUGGAAGUUUUACCUCACCAGAUAAUAAGAUUUACUCUAAAGCUACGAUAAUUAAAACAGCGUGUUCUUAGUGUGAAGAUAGACAAAUAGAAGAAUGGAACAGAAUAGAGUCUAAAGAAGAACUCAAGGGCCAAAAGUAGCCAAGAAGAACAGAUCUGGAAGACAUUAUCCCUCCAGAUAUCAAGAUCUCUUAUAAAGAUAUGUGGUAUCGACGCAAGGAAAGGCAAGCUGACCAAGGCAAGCUGACCAGUGGAACUAAACAAAGUCCAGAAACAGGUUCACACAUAUAGUCAUCCGGUGUGUAUCUUUGUGUGUGUGUAUUUCACAAAGGCUUAAAGUAAUGUGUCUUCAAUAAAUGGUGCUACAUCCAAAAGAGCAUAACUAUAUGUUUCCAUUUUAUAUGAAGUUCAAAAAUAGACAACAGAAUAGUGAUUACCUCUGGAGGCAGCUGGGGGCUGCCUCUGGUAGGGUGGGGGUGUUGCCUGGGAAGAAGCAUGAGAGAAUCUUCAGGGGUCCUGGAAAUAUUCCAUAUCUUGAUUUGGUUGGUGGUACACUGUUGUGUAUAAUAUACACGUAUUUGUACAUGUGUGUAUAAAAUGUCAUUGAGCUCCACAUUUAAGAUUUUUUGGACUUUAUUAUAUGUAUGCUAACCUCAAUAAAACUAAAAAAUUCCUCACUCGAGUGAAAACUUUUUUAAUUUAAAUAAAAAUAAACGGUAUUUCAUUUAGAAAUGGAAA
rnacentral:lncRNA from 1 species